GAUGAACGCUGGCGGCGUGCCUAACACAUGCAAGUCGAGCGAACCCUUCGGGGUGAGCGGCGGACGGGUGAGUAACGCGUGGGUAACCUGCCCUAUACACACGGAUAACGUACCGAAAGGUACGCUAAUACGGGAUAAAGUUGUUGGAUGGCAUCUUCUAACAAUCAAAGCUCCGGCGGUAUAGGAUGGACCCGCGUCUGACUAGCUAGUUGGUGAGGUAAUGGCUCACCAAGGCGACGAUCAGUAGCCGACCUGAGAGGGUGAUCGGCCACGCUGGAACUGAGACACGGUCCAGACUCCUACGGGAGGCAGCAGUGGGGAAUAUUGCACAAUGGGCGAAAGCCUGAUGCAGCAACGCCGCGUGAGCGAUGAAGGUCUUCGGAUCGUAAAGCUCUGUCCUCAAGGAAGAUAAUGACGGUACUUGAGGAGGAAGCCCCGGCUAACUACGUGCCAGCCGCCGCAGUAA
rnacentral:rRNA from 1 species